GACGAACGCUGGCGGCGUGCUUAACACAUGCAAGUCGAGCGGUAAGGCCCUUUCGGGGGUACACGAGCGGCGAACGGGUGAGUAACACGUGGGUGACCUGCCCUCAGCUCUGGGAUAAGCCUGGGAAACCGGGUCUAAUACCGGAUAUGACUCCAUGACGCAUGUUGUGGGGUGGAAAGCCUUGUGCGGCUGAGGAUGGGCCCGCGGCCUAUCAGCUUGUUGGUGGGGUGGAUGGCCUACCAAGGCGACGACGGGUAGCCGGCCUGAGAGGGCGACCGGCCACACUGGGACUGAGACACGGCCCAGACUCCUACGGGAGGCAGCAGUGGGGAAGUCUUGCGCAAUGGGCGAAAGCCUGACGCAGCGACGCCGCGUGAGGGAUGACGGCCUGG
rnacentral:rRNA from 1 species